UAUGGCCAUGUCACAUUGAAAUACCAGUUCCUGUAAGAUCUCUGAAGUUAAGCAAUAUCAAGCCUUGUCAGUACCUACAUAGGUGACUGCUUGGGAAUAUCAGGUAAUGU